UACGUAGGGGGCAAGCGUUGUCCGGAAUUAUUGGGCGUAAAGAGCGUGUAGGCGGCCAGAUAAGUCCGCUGUGAAAUCUCGAGGCUCAACUUCGAGCUGUCGGUGGAAACUAUCUGGCUAGAGUCCGGAAGAGGAGAAUGGAAUUCCUGGUGUAGCGGUGAAAUGCGUAGAUAUCGGGAGGAACACCAGUGGCGAAGGCGACUACCUGGCCUGUUUCUUGACGCUGAGGCGCGAAAGCUAGGGGAGCAAACGGG
rnacentral:rRNA from 1 species